AAAGCUUUGAUUUUUAGUAUUGUUUUCUAUUUUCUGUAAACCUGCAAGAGGGAAUUUACAUGCUGAACAGACAUGUGAAGUUAAUGUAUGGGUACACAGAGGGCCUUAUUCUGAAUUCUGAUAUAUGUAAGUCACCCCUGUCUCAGAAAUUUAUCCAUCACCUUUAUCAGCUUUAUGGAAUUUAGCCUUUGAUACUUAAUUAUUUUUAUGGUUUGGUUUGGGGUUUUGGUGGGUUUUGUUUGUUUGUUGUUUUUGUUUGGUUUUGCUGUUAUUGUUUUUGUUUUGUUUUUGUUGGUUUAUUUGCUUUGUGGAUGAAGCUGAAGUGAUAAAAUGAAGUUAUGUUUUUUCACCCUUUUUGAUGUAUCUGAUAUUGUUUAAUCACAGCUUGGAUAAAGAUGUGGAAGGAAAUCAGUGAAGGAGAACCAUGAAGGGGUGAAAUGUCAAAGGUAAUGCAGGAAAGAAGCAUAAAUGGGCUAGAACAGUAAAAUGCCUGGAGAAUAAACUGCAUGGUAGAGCAGUGGAAGGAGACAAAAAUGGGGAAUCAUCUAGAACACGGCACUCGACUGGGCAGUGAAGCACGGCAAUCUUGAGAUGGCAGAGAUGGUCGCCAAAGCAGGCGUCGAUGUCAAUGCUAAAUCGUAUGUCACUUAUUUCAUUGUGACAGGGGUAAUGUAUUUGUAAACUGUGCUAUAAAUAUUGGAAUCUCAUAUUCAGACACCGGCAUAUCUCAUAUUCAGACACCAGUAUUUCUGAGCUAUGCUUUUUCAAAUGAAUUUAGAAUUGACAAAAAUUUUCAAAGCCAAAUUACUAGUGUGUCACUGUGAAAUUAGGUUCUUGACCCUGCUUCUGAUGUAUGCUUAUUUUUCUACACAUUUUCUCCUUCAAUUUUAUGCAUCACUAUUCACUGCUGGAAUUGGUGACAUGGCUUUCCCAAAAGGGGGUUCUGGUAUUUAUUAUAAACAACAGGACAGUGAGAUGUGCACAUUUAUAAUAAAGUAUAAAGCAAAAAAAUAAACCCCAAAUAUGCAGGUCCCUCAGUCAGGGUAAGCCACAUUAUGAAAAACCAUCAUAGAUCAAUCUACAGUAAUAUCAUUGUUGAAAUUAAGGUAAUUUAACGGCCCGUUUAAAUAUUUUUCUUGUUUAUGAAGCUUUAUUUUUCAGAUGCUUUCUUCCUAUAGGUGUCACAGCAAGUAAGGUUUUUUUAAACCACAGUGUUGUGUUAUUUUUAUUUUAAUAACACAUCUUUUAUGUAUUAUUAAAAUUAUUAUUAUUAUUAUGGUGUAAAAGCCACCUGUGCUUUUCUGUGUUAAUUUAAUAUAGGAGCUAAGCUCUCAAUUAAAAGCAAAUUAUUAGGAUUUACAGUUAAUCCAGAAGUGAAGCAGAACACUAGCAGAAUUUUCCUGUGAGUUAGUCCAUAUAUUUAUUGCGAAG
rnacentral:lncRNA from 1 species